rnacentral:rRNA from 1 species
UAUAAUGCAGUCGAGCGAAUGACGAGGAGCUUGCUCCUCUGAUUUAGCGGCGGACGGGUGAGUAACACGUGGGUAACCUGCCUGUAAGACGGGGAUAACUUCGGGAAACCGAAGCUAAUACCGGAUAAUAAAGAGAAACUCCUGUUUCUUUUUUGAAAGUCGGUUUCGGCUGACGCUUACAGAUGGGCCCGCGGCGCAUUAGCUAGUUGGUGAGGUAACGGCUCACCAAGGCCACGAUGCGUAGCCGACCUGAGAGGGUGAUCGGCCACACUGGGACUGAGACACGGCCCAGACUCCUACGGGAGGCAGCAGUAGGGAAUCUUCGGCAAUGGACGAAAGUCUGACCGAGCAACGCCGCGUGAGCGAUGAAGGCCUUCGGGUCGUAAAGCUCUGUUGUCAGAGAAGAACAAGUACCGGAGUAACUGCCGGUACCUUGACGGUACCUGACCAGAAAGCCACGGCUAACUACGUGCCAGCAGCCGCGGUAAUACGUAGGUGGCAAGCGUUAUCCGGAAUUAUUGGGCGUAAAGCGCGCGCAGGCGGUUCCUUAAGUCUGAUGUGAAAGCCCACGGCUCAACCGUGGAGGGUCAUUGGAAACUGGGGAACUUGAGUGCAGGAGAGAAAAGUGGAAUUCCACGUGUAGCGGUGAAAUGCGUAGAGAUGUGGA